ensembl:lncRNA
GGGACCCUGGGUGGAGCAGGAGGGUCUUUGUAUUCCUGGAGCUGCUGGAGAUAGUGGUGCACAGAGAAAAUACCUUCCACCUGAAAGAAAGUGAAGUCGCUCAGUCGUGUCCGACUCUUUGUGACCCCAUGGACUGUAGCCUACUAGGCUCCUCCCUCCAUGGGAUUCUCCAGGCAAGAGUACUGGAGUGGAGAUUGCCAUUUCCUUCUCCAGGGGAUCUUCCCGACCCAGGGAUCGAACCCGGUCUCCCACAUUCCAGGCAGACGCUUUAACUUCUGAGCCACCAGGGAAGCCCAACCUGAUUUCUCAGGAAAACCUGUCUGUGGCAAAGAGAGAGACCCAGCCAAUGUCCAAGCUCCACUCCAAUGUCGGGGAUUCACUCCCAGCUCUCUGCAUCCAGAUUCCCAGCCUCGUGGCACUGCCUUGCCUGGGGUGGCAUGAUUCACCUCGAGGCAGCCACCAACCAGGACUGCUGGUGUGAGGGGACUGGCUACUUUGCUCCCAGGGGCCAUCUUCAGAAGGGAAGAGAGAAUGCAGCAGCCUUGAGCACAUGCCCAGUGGGCUUCAUGCUACACCAGGAGAAGUGAGAAAUGGCUCUUCACAGGCAGUGCUACUG